UUUUGUGAUCUGUGACUUUAUAGAUUUAAUUAAUAGGUGACAGCAAUAAAAAGUUCAUUUUGAAAUUAGCUCCAUGUUUCAAAUAUGUUCUCAUAAUAUAGCAUUAUAAAGCCCAAUAGUAUAGUUUAGGAUUUUACAUUUACAUUAAUUACAAAAUUGCUAUUUUCUUUAAGCUGUGCUAUGUACAUUCUAAAAAAAAAAAAAACUGCAAUCAUAAAAUUAUUUAUUGUGUAAAGGGCAUUGACUAGCAUUUAGUUAGGUUUGAUCUGCUGGAUGGACACGUAAAAAUAUCUAAACAAUGUUAAGCAAUUUGUGUAUCUGUUACAAAAUAACAAUAAUGGCACAAUUUGGAUCAAUAAUAAAAAGUUGUAUGUUACAUAUUCAUUAUUACGCACCAUAAGUCAAGUAUAAACCUUACUAUAAAUGUAAUACACAGAUAAAACCAUCCACCGUUGUGUAUUUGACUGAAGACACUUUUCUGAAUUAACUGGAUAUAUAAAGAUUUAAUUUUCUUAUAUUUUCUGUUAACACCACAUAAGUACACGAACAUCCCUUUUCUGCUGACAACAAGCAAUAGUACAUCUUUUUCUGCAUAUAUAAAAUGAAAACUGCCAUUUUC